CAGUCGCCGCGGUAACACGAAGGGGGCUAGCGUUGUUCGGAUUUACUGGGCGUAAAGCGCACGUAGGCGGAUCGAUCAGUCAGGGGUGAAAUCCUGGAGCUCAACUCCAGAACUGCCUUUGAUACUGUCGAUCUCGAGUCCGGAAGAGGUGAGUGGAACUCCUAGUGUAGAGGUGGAAUUCGUAGAUAUUAGGAAGAACACCGGUGGCGAAGGCGGCUCACUGGUCCGGUACUGACGCUGAGGUGCGAAAGCGUGGGGAGCAAACAGGAUUAGAUACCCGCGUAGUCCCUGUCUCUUAUAA
rnacentral:rRNA from 1 species